AUUGAACGCUGGCGGAAUGCUUUACACAUGCAAGUCGAACGGCAGCACGGGGGCAACCCUGGUGGCGAGUGGCGAACGGGUGAGUAAUACAUCGGAACGUGCCCAGUCGUGGGGGAUAACUACGCGAAAGCGUAGCUAAUACCGCAUACGAACUCAGGUUGAAAGCGGGGGAUCGCAAGACCUUGCGCGAUUGGAGCGGCCGAUGGCAGAUUAGGUAGUUGGUGGGGUAAAGGCUCACCAAGCCGACGAUCUGUAGCUGGUCUGAGAGGACGACCAGCCACACUGGGACUGAGACACGGCCCAGACUCCUACGGGAGGCAGCAGUGGGGAAUUUUGGACAAUGGGCGCAAGCCUGAUCCAGCCAUUCCGCGUGCAGGAUGAAGGCCCUCGGGUUGUAAACUGCUUUUGUACGGAACGAAACGCGCCGGGUUAAUACCCUGGCGUAAUGACGGUACCGUAAGAAUAAGCACCGGCUAACUACGUGCCAGCCGCCGCGGUAAUAC
rnacentral:rRNA from 1 species